GGCUGUUGUUUUUCAAGGCAACGAUGGAGGCAAAGCGCCAGCAGGCCCUAGUCCCAGUGAUUUGCUUAGAAAAGCUCUGGGACAAGAGAGAUGGUAUUUUCUAGUCUGCACUGGUGACAUCUGUAGCAAGCCAGUUGGAGAAAACCAGAAACUAAAGAGCCAGGAGGACUUUUCUGUUAGAGCUUCUUACCAAGGAUUGGGAAGUUUUGGAAUUUCCAAGCUCCACAGUUAUUUCAGAAGGGAUUAUAGAUGGGAGCAAUGUGCCUUUAAUUCUGCUUUCACGUCCUGGGGAUUUCCAGUUGGUCAGGUUGGGGUGAUGUGGAGAAGUGUUCUCAAGAUUGGGAGCUGGAUGUCAUUGCCCCAGUGGGAUGAACAUUGAGGAGGGUAGAGUUUCCAAAAUGGCCUCUACCAACCUUCACAGGAGGGCGUAGGCUUGUGUGUACAAUACUCUGAUAGGAGGUGGCUUCUUUAAAGAAAAGGCAGGCCAUUAACACAGUAAAUUGUUGGCUUACAAGAACUAUAUUGCUUCUUAAUCUGAGGUGUGUGGAACCCUUGAAAGUCCAUGGUUGAAAUUCAGAAGUUGUACAAACUUAAAUGAGAAAAAAAUUAUCAUUAUUUCCCCAAACCUCUGAAUGAAAUUUAGCAUUUCCUUUUGUUAUGAAUCUACAGUAUCUGUGAUUUUGUCACCAGUAGAAAUCAGGUAUUUUCAUAUUGCAUUAUAGAAAUAUCAAGCUAUUACUUCUGCUCAUUGUCACCUCAAAAUUAUGGGGGUGAUCUAAGUCACCACUAGACCCUGUUAUUUAUUGUACUAACAAAGAAGC
rnacentral:lncRNA from 1 species